rnacentral:lncRNA from 1 species
GAGAGACCAGAUUGCUUAAUUUAACAGGGCACAGGGGAUGUUUUAAUGUUUUAAUGUUUUCCCCAACAACACAUUACAGUAUUCUUCCUAGAAUUGAUUCAACAAAAUUUGCUGGAUAAAAGGCCAAAAACAGAAGAUAUAACACAUCUAGAACCACCAGACUACUAGAACCAAAUUGUUUAACUUUGGUUCAACAAAAUUUGCUGGACAAAGGGCAAAAAAACAGAACAUAUAACACAUCCAGGUUAUAAACAAAUACAACACAAUAUAGAAUCUAAAAUUCAAAGUUUUAAAGUAAUAAACAUCCACAAAUACAAAUCCAUAACAUAAUUCUACAAUUUAAAGCUCAAAUUUCCAGCCACUAGUGCUAAAGACUAAACUCUGAAUCAUCCACUUCAUUUGACUGUUGCUCACUCAUCCAACUCUCAUCAAUCAAAUGCUCUGCAGAAAGUAUUGCUUCCUCUGGAAUUCCAUCGACAAAAAAUGUGUAAAUCAUAAACAUAAUGAACAAGACAACCAAUUAGUGAUAAAUUGAUAAUAAGAACAAUACAAUAAACUAUAAAUAAUAAAAUUGAAGCAUAACAGAGUAUAGAUACUAAAAAUCACAGAGUUUAGCUAUUAAAGUCACAAAGUAUAGAUAUUAAAAUUACAAACAAAGCAAAACAACACAUAAAUUGCAAACACAGUCUAAUUAAAUUGCGAAGACAGUCACAGUGAGUAUCCUAACCGAAUUUCGUUAAUCUAUAUGAAGAGAACAUUUCUUAUGCUGAUGAAGAAAAUUACAGGACAUUAUUAAUCAAGAAUUCAUAAGAUUAAGAUUUUAAUCAAGACAUUAUUGAUCAAGAAUUCAUAAGACUAUAUGAAGAGACAUUAUUAAUCAAGAAAAUUAUAGAACAUUAACUUUGAAUUCUUAACAAGAACAUUAUUAAUCAUGAAUUCAAGAAAACCGUAGGACUGCAGCAAAUCAAAACAAAUUUGGUUGUUUUUGUUUUGUUUUUAUUUAUUUUUCUAUUCAGCUCAAAAUAACCCAGCCGAAGCUCAACUAAGCAAAGCAAAACAAAAUAUCCUCAGCCCUCGAAUGUCCAAAAGAUAAGAUGAAUAAUGAAUCAAAAGGGAUGAGGCCAAAGCAGAAAGAUGCAGUUUUUUUUUUCCUCCAGUAGUCAGUACCACCUUUUUAUUAACACAACCCCACAACCACAAACUAAAACAUAAUUAAUUAAUACCCAGCCGAAGCUCAUAAAAGUACCUAAAUGCAUCAGUAACAAGAAAAGUUGCAAACUUUUGAUGAAUUAAAUAAAUAACAAAGAACCAACUUUUUGCUUACCAGAAGAAAUGGAUCCAAGAAACCACAAAACCAACUACAACCCACACUAAAUACAGAGACAAGGUCAAGCUAUAAGCUAGGCAGCAACCCUUUGGCUAGUUAUACUUCAAAUUCAAUUAUGAGCUUACUCACUAACCAACUCUUAAUGCACAAAACCAACAAUGCGCUUUAGAAGAAAAAUGGCAUCUGUUCUGUUUUAGACAACAGUUUCUAGAUUUUUGGUCACAUCAAAGGAGAGAAAAAAGUCUCCUUGUGCCAGAAAAACAAAGAACAAAACGAGGCAAAUAAUUCAGAAAACAAAAAGCUUAUAAUUAGUCAAGUGCUCUCAUAUAUACAAAGAAAACCAUGUCUGAGGGAAAAUCACAUUGUGCCAGAAGCAAUACAAGCUCAAAGCAUAAAAGCACGAAAAUUGCAAAGAGGGAAAAUCAAAGUGUAAUAGAGCAUAAAUUGUAAAGAGAAAAGCCGAAACUCACAAAUAUUCACAGCGACAGCUGAAGUAUAUGCUGAUGAACACAGAACACAGCCACUACUGAGGUGGAUUUCAACCCCUUUUGCUGGCCGCGACAGAGUGAGAGAUGAGACGAGUGAUGCUUGCUGAUGAGUGAUGAAACGAACAAAGCCUCACCGUGAAGGUGAUGACAGGCCAAGCCGCGAAGAACUGAUCUGAUCCUUCGAAGAAGAGAUUACAGGAGAGUUGAAGAGAGAGUGUGAAAGAUUAAGUGAGGACUGAGGAUUGAGGAACGAGUCACGACUCACGGGUGAGAGAGAUUGAGAGAGGAACAGAUUACGGAUGAGACUUGAGAGAUUGAGAGGAGAAAUUACAGAUUUACAGUAGAGUUCAGAGUUGAAGGAGAAAUUUCGAGAGAGGAACGAGAGAGAUCUAGGGUUCACUUUUGUUUUUUUUUUCUAUUUAUAUUUACGAAUAAAAAUUAAUAUUAAAAUAAAUAAUAUCCGGGUCCGAGUUUCGGAUUUGCCGGUUCACCUGAAACGGGAUCCGGACUUGGAAAUAUGCGGGUUGUCAAAAAUUGAUCUGGAUUCCGGAUAAAAAUUAUUUCGGUGCGGGUUGAACUCGGACCGAAUUUUUCGGGUUCAGUCCGGGUCUGAUCCAGGUCCGGGUUUGGUUGCCAUCCCUAGAGUUUUGAAGGUUGGACCAAAAUCUAGCUUCAAAUGAAAUAUCAUGACCCAAUUAUGUGAGAUUUGAAUAAGGUGGUAGACUUUAAAAUAAUCAUACAAGUGAUUUACGCAAUUAGCAUAGGCUAUAAAUAGGAAACUAUUCUAGUUAUAAACGAUUGUGUAAUAUUAUGUCACACUUUUAAAUUAUAUCAGUCAUAAAAUGGCUGUCUUAUUGCUUAUUUUAUGUAUUAAAUAUCAUCUAAUUAAUCUUCGAUCUCGUUUAUUUCCUCCGUAAGAUUCUCAUAGAUUUUAAAAAAUAUUGUAGCGAUAUUAUGAUUAGAUUCAAUAAUUAAACACAUAAUAAACAGUUCUGCUUAACAUAUAUAAGAGUGGUGUUAUACUUAUUCAAAUGGAAUAUGCAUUCCAGCUGAUGUGUGACUAAUCGAAUUUCACCAUUUGAAUUAUGAAUCAUCAUUUACCUCGUCAAUUGCAAUAAAAACUAAGGGCCGGUUUGGUAAAGUCAUAGUUUUUAAAAUAAUUGUUGUUAGCUAUAUUAUAGAAAUAAUCAUAUGUAGAAAGAAUCAGUUAGACGUUUAGUGAAAUUUAUUUUUGAAAGUAUUAUGAAUUUUAAAAGUAGUAGUAUGUAUUUGGUAAAUUUACAAUUAAAUUAUUGUAUGAAUGUAAAUGAUUAAAUUGGACAUAAUGUCAGAAUAAAUUUAUUUACAU